rnacentral:rRNA from 1 species
AUUGAACGCUGGCGGCAUGCUUUACACAUGCAAGUCGAACGGUAACAGGCCGCAAGGUGCUGACGAGUGGCGAACGGGUGAGUAAUGCAUCGGAACGUGCCCAGUCGUGGGGGAUAACUACUCGAAAGAGUAGCUAAUACCGCAUACGAUCUAUGGAUGAAAGCGGGGGACCGUAAGGCCUCGCGCGAUUGGAGCGGCCGAUGUCAGAUUAGGUAGUUGGUGGGGUAAAGGCUCACCAAGCCAACGAUCUGUAGCUGGUCUGAGAGGACGACCAGCCACACUGGGACUGAGACACGGCCCAGACUCCUACGGGAGGCAGCAGUGGGGAAUUUUGGGCAAUGGGCGCAAGCCUGAUCCAGCAAUGCCGCGUGCAGGAAGAAGGCCUUCGGGUUGUAAACUGCUUUUGUACGGAAAGAAACGGCUCUGGUUAAUACCCGGGGCUAAUGACGGUACCGUAAGAAUAAGCACCGGCUAACUACGUG